CCUACGGGAGGCAGCAGUGAGGAAUAUUGGUCAAUGGACGAGAGUCUGAACCAGCCAAGUAGCGUGAAAGAUGACUGCCCUAUGGGUUGUAAACUUCUUUUAUAUGGGAAUAAAACGUUCCACGUGUGGGAUUUUGUAUGUACCAUAUGAAUAAGGAUCGGCUAACUCCGUGCCAGCAGCCGCGGUAAUACGGAGGAUCCGAGCGUUAUCCGGAUUUAUUGGGUUUAAAGGGAGCGUAGGUGGAUUGUUAAGUCAGUUGUGAAAGUUUGCGGCUCAACCGUAAAAUUGCAGUUGAAACUGGCAGUCUUGAGUACAGUAGAGGUGGGCGGAAUUCGUGGUGUAGCGGUGAAAUGCUUAGAUAUCACGAAGAACUCCGAUUGCGAAGGCAGUUCACUGGACUGCAACUGACACUGAGGCUCGAAAGUGUGGGUAUCAAACAGGAUUAGAUACCCCAGUAGUC
rnacentral:rRNA from 1 species